AGAUUGAACGCUGGCGGCAGGCCUAACACAUGCAAGUCGAGCGGUAGAGAGGUGCUUGCAUCUCUUGAGAGCGGCGGACGGGUGAGUAAUGCCUAGGAAUCUGCCUAGUGGUGGGGGAUAACGUUCGGAAACGGACGCUAAUACCGCAUACGUCCUACGGGAGAAAGCGGGGGACCUUCGGGCCUCGCGCCAUUAGAUGAGCCUAGGUCGGAUUAGCUAGUUGGUGAGGUAAAUGGCUCACCAAGGCGACGAUCCGUAACUGGUCUGAGAGGAUGAUCAGUCACACUGGAACUGAGACACGGUCCAGACUCCUACGGGAGCAGCAGUGGGG
rnacentral:rRNA from 1 species